rnacentral:tRNA from 2 species
ACCCGGAUGGCGAAAUGGUAGACGCGGGGGACUUAAAAUCCCCUGAUCGCAAGGUCGUGCGGGUUCGAGUCCCGCUCCGGGUA